rnacentral:rRNA from 1 species
GAUGAACGCUGGCGGCGUGCCUAAUACAUGCAAGUCGAGCGAACAGACGAGGAGCUUGCUCCUCUGACGUUAGCGGCGGACGGGUGAGUAACACGUGGAUAACCUACCUAUAAGACUGGGAUAACUUCGGGAAACCGGAGCUAAUACCGGAUAAUAUAUUGAACCGCAUGGUUCAAUAGUGAAAGACGGUUUUGCUGUCACUUAUAGAUGGAUCCGCGCCGCAUUAGCUAGUUGGUAAGGUAACGGCUUACCAAGGCAACGAUGCGUAGCCGACCUGAGAGGGUGAUCGGCCACACUGGAACUGAGACACGGUCCAGACUCCUACAGGAGGCAGCAGUAGGGAAUCUUCCGCAAUGGGCGAAAGCCUGACGGAGCAAUGCCGCGUGAGUGAUGAAGGUCUUCGGAUCGUAAAACUCUGUUAUUAGGGAAGAACAAAUGUGUAAGUAACUAUGCACGUCUUGACGGUACCUAAUCAGAAAGCCACGGCUAACUACGUG